CUACGGGGGGCUGCAGUGAGGAAUAUUGCGCAAUGGGGGAAACCCUGUCGCAGCGACGCCGCGUGGAUGAUGAAGGCCUUCGGGUCGUAAAAUCCUGUCAGAAGGAAAGAAGUGUAUGGUAGCUAAUAUCUGCCAUACUUGACGGUACCUUCAAAGGAAGCACCGGCUAGCUCCGUGCCAGCAGCCGCGGUAAUACGGAGGGUGCAAGCGUUGUUCGGAAUUACUGGGCGUAAAGCGCGCGUAGGCGGUUUUAUAAGUCAGAUGUGAAAGUCCACGGCUCAACCAUGGAAGUGCAUUUGAAACUGUAAGACUUGAGUAUUGGAGGGGGUAGUGGAAUUCCCGGUGUAGAGGUGAAAUUCGUAGAUAUCGGGAGGAAUACCGGUGGCGAAGGCGACUAUCUGGCCAAAUACUGACGCUGAGGUGCGAAAGCGUGGGGAGCAAACAGGAUUAGAUACCCGGGUAGUC
rnacentral:rRNA from 1 species